UACGUAGGGGGGCAAGCGUUGUCCGGAAUCAUUGGGCGUAAAGAGCGUGUAGGCGGCUUGGUAAGUCCGCUGUGAAAGUCCAGGGCUCAACCCUGGAAUGCCGGUGGAAACUGUCAAGCUCGAGUCCGGAAGAGGCGAGUGGAAUUCCUGGUGUAGCGGUGAAAUGCGCAGAUAUCGGGAAGAACACCCGUGGCGAAGGCGGCACUCUGGGACGGUACUGACGCUGAGACGCGAAAAGCGUGGGGAGCGAACAGG
rnacentral:rRNA from 1 species